CUACGGGAUGCAGCAGUGAGGAAUAUUGCGCAAUGGGGGAAACCCUGACGCAGCGACGCCGCGUGGAUGAUGAAGGCCUUAGGGUCGUAAAAUCCUGUCAGGUGGGAAGAAGUGGAUAUAGAUUAAUACUCUAUUUCUUUGACGGUACCACCAAAGGAAGCACCGGCUAACUCCGUGCCAGCAGCCGCGGUAAUACGGGGGGUGCAAACGUUGUUCGGAAUUACUGGGCGUAAAGCGCGCGUAGGCGGUUUGUUAAGUCAGAUGUGAAAGUCCAUGGCUCAACUACGGAAGUGCAUUUGAAACUGGCAGACUUGAGUACUGGAGGGGGUGAUGGAAUUCCCGGUGUAGAGGUGAAAUUCGUAGAUAUCGGGAGGAAUACCGGUGGCGAAGGCGAUCACCUGGCCAGAUACUGACGCUGAGGUGCGAAAGCGUGGGGAGCAAACAGGAUUAGAUACCCUAGUAGUC
rnacentral:rRNA from 1 species